ACCUGCCCCUGGACUCUGGGAUAAGCGUUGGAAACGCACGCUCUAAUACUGGUAUAUGAUCACCCAGCCGCAUGGUCUGGUGGUGGAAAGAUUUUUUGGUUGGGGAUGGACUCGCGGCCUAUCAGCUUGUUGGUGAGGUAAUGGCUCACCAAGGCGACGACGGGUAGCCGGCCUGAGAGGGUGACCGGCCACACUGGGACUGAGACACGGCCCAGACUCCUACGGGAGGCAGCAGUGGGGAAUAUUGCACAAUGGGCGAAAGCCUGAUGCAGCAACGCCGCGUGAGGGAUGACGGCCUUCGGGUUGUAAACCUCUUUUAGUAGGGAAGAAGCGAAAGUGACGGUACCUGCAGAAAAAGCACCGGCUAACUACGUGCCAGCAGCCGCGGUAAUACGUAGGGUGCAAGCGUUGUCCGGAAUUAUUGGGCGUAAAGAGCUCGUAGGCGGUUUGUCGCGUCUGCUGUGAAAUCCCGAGGCUCAACCUCG
rnacentral:rRNA from 1 species